GUUGGUGUUUUUGUUCGUCACAACAUUUCAAAUCUUGGAGAUGGGAGACUGAUUAGACAGUAUGAAAGAAAUCAAUCCAGACAGUAAGGGAUGCUAUUGUUUAUAUUAUUGCUUGGCCUCGAUUACAUGCAAGUCCACUUCCAUACAAGCAUCGGAUAUGCUCCAAUUUCCAUUAAGGUUUAUCAUUUGUGAAGAUUCUUUGUAGUUUUUUCAGGUCAAAAUACCUAAGCCAAUCGCUCCAACAAUACUAGAAAAGAUUCGUACUCCAACACGACCACAAGACAUUGGUGUGGUACAUCCCUUAUAAUUUAUAGAAUAACAUUUCAUUGUGGACUAGUCCAAAAGCUUAUGUUCAUGUAAACUGUUCUUUGUUCACUUUCUUUUUCAGGGUAUGCUGAGGCUUUAGAGGAGAGCAUUGCAGGAUCCAGGAGCAGCUGUAGAUGGAUUAGUUUUUAAAUGAACAAAUAUAAUGAAUUAUGUAUAGAUUUUAGCUUCAUAGGAAAACUUAGUUCUAGUCUGUAGGAUUUUUUUCUUAAUUAAUUAUUUGUAUUUUUCAUAUGAAUGUCAAGAUUUUUUCAGUUGUGAACUCCACAGAUUUUUAAAAGAUGUAUUUGUUCCUACUAAAUAGUCCACUGGAUUUGCUACUGAUGAUGCUAAUUGUGCGAAUAGGAUUGGUGAUGUGGACUGAGGCCUUCAUAUAAUGACAUUUGAUCAGACUGCGUGUCAUGAUAAAGUAAUCAAAUUUGAAAUGCUGAAAUUCAAAAUUAAAAUAAACCAAAUAAUAUUUAGUAUAAAAUAAUUCAUAGCGGGAGAAAAACUUAUGUAUAUUUGGGAACGAUUAUAACGUCUCUACAUAGCAUGCAUAAGCAACAGGCCCAUGAUGAAACCUCUAUUCCUGCAGAGACGUGGAUGAGCGUGUGUAACAUAACAUCUCAACAUGUAUAGAGACGAUUUUCUCGCCCCCGUCUCCCCCGACCCCGCCUCGCCGCCAUCUCCCCCGACCACGCCUCGCCGCGUCUCGGUGCCGCCGUCUCCCCCAACCCCAUCUCUCUCCCCGCCCUCUGUAAGCACUCUCCCCUUCCGAUCCCUCUUCUCUGCUUAGUAUGAACCCUAGCUAUUUAGUGCUAGUUAGUAUGAACCUGCGACACCAGCGAAUAAUAUGAGUAUAACUCAAUCCCAAAUUGCCUCACAAAAAAAAUAAACUCAACCCCCAAUAAAUAAUGCAAGAAACAGAAUUUGAACCUGCGACCUCAAAGAUUGAUGUGGAGUCUAGUGUCCUACCAACAGGACUGCAAGCUUGAUUGAACUUGGGGGUUAGAUCCUACUUGAUCCGUCCGGCAACCUACGUGUUAGCUUUUUUUUGAGGGGGAUCCGUGUCAGGUAAUGUGCCCAACAAGAUGGGCCUGAACCUGCGCUCCCUCACAAAAACCUUGCUAUGGCCCAUCUAAUUGGCACAACAAGUAUGUGGUGCAUGAUUACCAAUUGAUGAGAUAGCUAAUUGUUCACAGAUCCAAAAGAAAUGUUCACUUUCAAGUUUUGUUCAGUUCUUCAAAAAAUGUUCCUGUUUUCAAACUUUAUUCAAGAUUUCAAGAAAUGUUCCCAUUCUCAAGAAGUGUUCACAGAUGGAAAAAUGUUCGAGAUUCCCAACAAUGUUGGCGUUUUUACAAAAAAAAAACGAGGUUUCAUUUUUUUCACGAAUUUUAAAAUGUUCAUGUUUUCAAAUUUCAAAUAACUUUCCCGUUACCAAAAAAUAUUCAUAGGUUCAAAACUGUUCAAAUUUUUUAAAAUGUGUUCAAAAUAAUGACCGCGUUUCAAAAGAUAAUUCACUUUCUUCGACAAAAAAAUACGUUCACAUUUUUCAUAAAUGUCUUUUCAAAUCUCGGUGUUGCAGUGUGUUCUUUACAUAUAUUGCGCGUUAGCAAAUCAACAACAACUUUUAGUUCUAGCGGCUAAUAGUGUGCCUAGCCGCGGGACUCCCUAUAUGACGCUUGCAUUCUAACUGUUGGACCUCUUCCACCACAACGCGCGCACCAUCAUCAUGCUAAAAAAAGGAUUCCCACCUUUUGGUAUUAAUGCCAUGGAUAUUUCGUUUAACUGGCACAACAUGGCCGGACAUGGAGUAUGUGAGCUCGAGCUCCCAUGCACCCUUUGCUACAGUAAACUUGGAAAACAUAUUUAAGAAGUUCAAAAAUAUCUGAAUUUUUUUGGCAACAAACAUUGAUGCGUGUUUCACAUGCGUUCCAUUUUGGUGAUGAAAUAACAUUUGUGGAGGCCUCGGCAAAAAGAUAAAAUAAUGCUUGAAAAAAACUGUUUUUGAAAGCAUUUUGGAGCAUCGAUUUUGUUUUUUUACCGAGACCUGCACGAAUGUCAUUUUGUCAUGAAAUUUUGGAUGCAUGUGAAAAAUACAUCGAUGUUUGUUCUAAAAAAAAUCAGUUUUUUUAUUUUUUUUUUAAAUCGAUUUUGCUGUAGCAAAGGGUGCAUGUGAGUUCGAGCUCACAAGAGCACUUUCGCAGAUGGCCCCCUUAUGCUGAUUCUCACCAAUUUAAAUAGGUUCAACAACGUUCUUGGUGUGAGCUAAUUAAGGUUGGGCAUAGUGAGAGUAACUUAGCUAGAAACAUAGCGCAUUUCAAGACAAGUUUGAUUAUGUGACAUGUAAUUAAUGAGGAGAGAUGUGUUUAGAGUAACAAAAUAUAUUACCGUAACAUAACACGACCCAAAGCGAGUCUACAAUCUAAUAAAUAUAAUCAUUUAUGAUACUACUUCUAUGUUACUUUGCGGUAUUGAAAGGAUCAAUAUGGUUGACUAUGGGGUGAAUAGGCAACUAAUAAUUUUUAGCUCUUUUAAAAAAUUAGGGUUAGCAACAAAUAGGUUAUCUAAAUAUGCAACUAGGUCACCAACCUAUAUGAUGCACUCAACAACAACAACAACAACAACAACAACAACAACAACAACAACAACAACAACCACAACAACAACAACAACAAACAACAACAACUACAUGAGCAAGCAAAAGAUACAACACACUAUUAGCUUGCAAAAAGUAAAGGUAAGAAGUAACCACAAGUGGAGUCGAUGGGGACGAGGAUGUGUCACCAAAGUUCCCUCCCUUUAGGGGGAGUUACGUCUCCGUUAGAGUGGUGUGGAGGCACAAUGCUCCUUAAGAAGCCACUAGGGCCACUGUAUUCUCCUCACACCCUCGCACAAUGCAAAAUGUCGUGAUUCCAUUAGUGGUGCUCUUGAAGGCUGCAACCAAACCUUUACAAACUAGGUUGGGGCAAUCUCCACAACUUAAUUGGAUGCUUCAAUGACCGUCUUCAGUCUUUAUCACCGAGGGGAAUAAAUCAUCUUAUGACAUGAUAGAAUAUAUGAAAUGCUCAAUGCACACGAUUAGUCCGCAAAUUGCAUUGCCAUUAAUCACCAAAACCAAUAAGGGAGAAAUAUACUCUAACCGCUAUGAAUGGUAGUAACAUAGACUAGUGCCAUAUGCAUGCCACUAGUCUAAAACUCUAAGUUAUUCCCCACUAUGACUAGCCUAGGUAUCCUUCACAUGCAAGUGUUGUGUGGGAACAUGUGUGCAAGAAGAAGUCGGCUUCACAUUUGGCUACUGGGGUGGAUAUAGAGGAAAGAGGCUAAGAAGAUGUGGUGUUGUUUGGGAAUGGAAUGGGUGCGUGGUGGCAUGUGUGCAUGAAGAAGUCGGCUCGUGUUUGAUUGUGGGUUCUAGAGAGGAAAACAUGCUAAGAAGCUGUGGCGCUGUUUGUGAAUGGAAUUGGUGCAUGGUGGCAUGUGUGUAUGAAGAAGUUGGCUCAUGUUUGAUUGUGGGUUUUGGAUAGGCAAACAUGCUAAGUUGCGGUGGAGGCUAAGAAGAUGUGGUGCUAUUUGAGAAUGGAAUUGGUGCGUAGUGGCAGGUGUGCAUGAAGAAGUUGGCCCGUCAUUGGUGAAACUCCUCAAAAUCAUUCCAUUCGUACACAAAUAUAAGACAUUUUAGACAUUUCAUUAUGAACUGCAUAUGUACUUGAGUGAGUGAACAAAUAUACUAAAAUGCAUCUACAUCCAUCUCAACCAGAAUAGAGUUUGAACGUCUUAUACUAUAUUUUUUUAUGGAGGGAAUAUUAUUUAUUGUAGAUCGAACGGAUAUUAGGGCUCGUAUUUACCAUUUGUUUUAAUUACUUUAAAAAUACUAAAAUAAUUGUGCACGCAAACUGUUUUUCACUUUAUCAAAUUUGGGGUUCCUACUUUUUUUCGUUUACCGCCUAGGCCUUCCCGCGUUUCUACUAGAUUGUUUUUGCUCCACAUAAUCCUUCCGCAUCUUUUCCCCACCCUACGCCGCCAUCUCCCCAACUCCCCACCUCCAGAUCGGUUCCAAUCUACGCAGGCACCAGCCCAUCCCAUGCGCCGCCCAUUCCCACAUAGGACGCGGAUGCAGCCUCACCCGAUUGCUGAUCUCCGCCGCCAGCUUAGGCCUUCGCUCGUGACUUCCCAUUCUCCCCUGUCAUCGAUCUUGCCAGUUGGAGCCCCAUCAGCAUCCGGCUUCCUCACCAUCGCCAAGCCGCGCUCCUCUAUCCGAAGCUCUGCCGUGUGUUGCGUCGCUACACCGUCCACAAGCAGCUCUCGGCACCAUCCAACAUCUUCAGACUUCCGUCCGGUCAAGCAGGUGAUUCCUUUAAUCCCAACUCCCCUAUAGUUUUAGCAUUAGAUCUGUGAAAGUAGCCUCCUUCAUUUGGGGCCUGUUCGGUUCUUGGGGUUUGAUUCCCCAAGGGGAAUCAACACCUACGGUUUCAGGUUAACGCCUCCUACUACCCUAUGUAAUCUUCCCAUCCACAGUCUGUUCGGUUACAGUAGGGAUCAAAGGUGGUUUUGCAGUGAGAACGCUAAACUGUAAUCAUCCAUGACUAGUAAUUUGACAGUGACACACUAGUAACAUGUCAAAUGACAUUUUUUUCUGCACAAGAAACUACAGAACUAUAUGGUGGACAAGUUGCAGUCAGAUGAAAAGCUAGUAUGUAACCAAGAGCCACACACAUUGCAGAGAUAUCAUGAUUUUAGUUAACUUGUAAUACAAAAUGAUGCAAUUUGCACAACCAUGUUUUCACCCAACAUUUUGUUCAUAUGAUCCUCUCACAUCUGAAAUAGAUGGCAGUAAACAUAGUUCAAGCAACAGGUGCACGCAGAUAUGCAGACCACUCAAGCGAACCAUUUGUUUCACUAUAUACAACAAAUUUAAUCAUGCAAUCUCAGUACACCACUGUAAUAUUCAUAAAUUCCUUUCUGAAUUUCACAAAUUUCUUUACUAUACACACCUUAUCUUUUUACCAUAUAUCUAGAUCCUUCUCUGUAUAAUUGUGUUUUCGAACACCUAGAUCAUACUCUGAAAAACUAAUGGGCAUUUAUAAUAGCCAAAGACCCUGAAGUGGUUAUUAAGGAAACUGAAUUAGUUUUGGAACAUAUAAAUAAGGUAUUUGGGCUGAACCUACAAAGAGAGGAUGAUCCCCGAUUGUUAGUACUAUUACCUAAGAAAACAAAAGGUUGAAUUUCCUGUGUUUCUUUUAAUUUCCUAGUAUAGCUAAUGUUGGAAAAAUGGAUACAUUCUAUGUGGUUGCUCUAUAUUCCUUGCAAGCUAGUAAGAACAUGGCUCACGCAGUCAAGCUGUAUGUAUGCAGUUUUCUGCUACUUUCAGUUUUUUCCUAUUUGAUCUCACAUGGUUUAUUUGUUUAUUAGAUAAUGCACUGCAAUGCAAGACCUUGUUAUAUGUUUAUAUGCACAAGUUUCCUUCACUAUCUUGUUGAUUAAUUUAUGAUUUUAACAUUGUUUUCGCAAAUAUAUAAUGUCAAGGAUAAUGUACAAGAUUUGAGAGACGAGCUGAGUAUGAUGCAUUUGUUCAUGAAGCAAAAAUUCUCUGCAGAGAAAUGGAGAAAUAAAAUUGUAACCGUGGGAAGUGAUGAAGUUGGUAUAUAAAAAACAUCUCUUUCUGCAAAGAUAAAAGUCUGGGUAUUAGUACAAUAUUAUCAAGUUCUUGUUUCAGGUUGAUCUCAGCAUAAGAGUUGUUGGCAGUGACCUACACAUGAAGAAUCACCUCACAAUGUGCAUGCUUCACAGAAUGGUAUGCAAGUGAUGCAAUAGUUUCUUCACUAGUAAGUUAGCGCUAGUUUUUUCUCAUACUUAAAACAAUUGUUCAUCAUAAGUUGCAGGAAUUGCAUCCUAGCAGUUGUGUGAGAACCAAAGAGGGUUACACCAAAUCCUAUUUACGACAUGAACGCAUCGUUGCCAAGGUAUCAAACAAUGUCCGCGUGUACAGAAAUUUCUGCUUUGUUAUUAAACAGUGACUAUGUUUGUACAAUUUUACUUGUAACUGAAAGGAACCUCAACUAUAGACGCACACAUUGAAAAGUUUGAUAGGGCUAAUCAAGGUGCAGAAUCAACUUUACUAAGACGAGCAGUUCACUAGCCAGGUAUAUUCAAACAACAGAUGAAAAGAAAUGUGGUGUCCUGUUUUGUACAAGUAGGGUAUUUGCCUGCUUCUGUUUUUUUGCAAGCAACAUGAUAUCGUGAUGAAAUAAUUAUUUCCAAGAUUUUGGUAAUACAUGUGCUAAUACUAUUUAUUUUCAAAGAACUGCUAAUACUAGUUUCACAAAAAAAUAAAUGCUACUCAUGAACUAGUAGCAGCAGUAGUAGGAGGUAACCCUAAUGCAACAACAAAAUGGGAUAAUCAUCGAAAUCCGGAGUACAUGAUAAGAUGAGUUUAAAUCUUUGUCAUGGUAAUAAUAUCACUCAUGAUCAAUUGCAUUAUGUAAUAUCCUGGAGCUGGCAUAGAAAAGAGUUCAGUUUAGAAGUGUCUAUGGUACAACUAGGAACCAGAUAGAAUCAAUAUGUACAUAAUAAGUUUGAUGAUUUAGUGCAUUUGUUAUACAUGAUAAAGACCUGUAAAUUAUAUUCCCUGAUUAGUGUCUCUUUUCACCCGUAUUUUUACUGAAAUAAGUGUGUUAUUUCUUGAAAUAAUAAAGGAAAAAUUGAAGUAAUUCUUUUCGAUGAACUCGAGGAAAAAAAGUUAAGUCGUGGACAAAGGAGCUUUAGUGAAUAAAAAUAUAACAUAUGUGGUUGAGGAAACAUGCUUGGAGAGCAAUAUGUUGGUGUUUUUGUUCGUCACAACAUUUCAAAUCUUGGAGAUGGGAGACUGAUUAGACAGUAUGAAAGAAAUCAAUCCAGACAGUAAGGGAUGCUAUUGUUUAUAUUAUUGCUUGGCCUCGAUUACAUGCAAGUCCACUUCCAUACAAGCAUCGGAUAUGCUCCAAUUUCCAUUAAGGUUUAUCAUUUAUGAAGAUUCUUUGUAGUUUUUUGAGGUCAAAAUACCUAAGCCAAUCGCUCCAACAAUACUAGAAAAGAUUCGUACUCCAACACGACCACAAGACAUUGGUGUGGUACAUCCCUUAUAAUUUAUAGAAUAACAUUUCAUUGUGGACUAGUCCAAAAGCUUAUGUUCAUGUAAACUGUUAUUUGUUCACUUUCUUUUUCAGGGUAUGCUGAGGCUUUAGAGGAGAGCAUUGCAGGAUCCAGGAGCAGCUAUAGAUGGAUUAGUUUUUAAAUGAACAAAUAUAAUGAAUUAUGUAUAGAUUUUAGCUUCAUAGGAAAACUUAGUUCUAGUCUGUAGGAUUUUUUCUUAAUUAAUUAUUUGUAUUUUUCAUAUGAAUGUCAAGAUUUUUUCAGUUGUGAACUCC
rnacentral:lncRNA from 1 species